AUUGAACGCUGGCGGCAGGCCUAACACAUGCAAGUCGAGCGAGCGGCGGACGGGUGAGUAAUGUAUGGGGAACUGCCCGAUGGAGGGGGAUAACUACUGGAAACGGUGGCUAAUACCGCAUACCAUCAGAUGAACCCAUAUGGGAUUAGCUAGUAGGUGAGGUAACGGCUUACCUAGGCGACGAUCCCUAGCGGGUCUGAGAGGAUGAUCAGCCACACUGGAACUGGGACACGGUCCAGACUCCUACGGGAGGCAGCAGUGGGGAAUAUUGCACAAUGGGCGCAAGCCUGAUACAGCCAUGCCGCGUGUGUGAAGAAGGCCUUCGGGUUGUAAAGCACUUUCAGCGGGGAGGCGUUACCCGCAGAAGAAGCACCGGCUAACUCCGUGCCAGCCGCCGCGGUAAUAC
rnacentral:rRNA from 1 species